rnacentral:rRNA from 1 species
AACUUUCAACAACGGAUCUCUUGGUUCUGGCAUCGAUGAAGAACGCAGCGAAAUGCGAUAAGUAAUGUGAAUUGCAGAGUUCAGUGAACCAUCGAAUCUUUGAACGCACAUUGCGCCCGCCAGCACUCUGGCGGGCAUGCCUGUCCGAGCGUCAUC